UACAGAGGGUGCGAGCGUUAAUCGGAGUUACUGGGCGUAAAGGGCGCGUAGGCGGUUAUAUAAGUGAGAUGUGAAAUCCCUGGGCUUAACCUAGGAACUGCAUCUCAUACUGUAUGACUGGAGUAUUGUAGAGGGUAGUGGAAUUUCCGGUGUAGCGGUGAAGUGCGUAGAGAUCGGAAGGAACACCAGUGGCGAAGGCGGCUACCUGGACAAAUACUGACGCUGAGGCGCGAGAGCGUGGGGGAGCAAACAGG
rnacentral:rRNA from 1 species